AGUGAACGCUGGCGGCAGGCCUAACACAUGCAAGUCGAACGGCAGCACAGUAAGAGCUUGCUCUUACGGGUGGCGAGUGGCGGACGGGUGAGGAAUACAUCGGAAUCUACUUUUUCGUGGGGGAUAACGUAGGGAAACUUACGCUAAUACCGCAUACGACCUACGGGUGAAAGCAGGGGAUCUUCGGACCUUGCGCGAUUGAAUGAGCCGAUGCCGGAUUAGCUAGUUGGCGGGGUAAAGGCCCACCAAGGCGACGAUCCGUAGCUGGUCUGAGAGGAUGAUCAGCCACACUGGAACUGAGACACGGUCCAGACUCCUACGGGAGGCAGCAGUGGGGAAUAUUGGACAAUGGGCGCAAGCCUGAUCCAGCCAUACCGCGUGGGUGAAGAAGGCCUUCGGGUUGUAAAGCCCUUUUGUUGGGAAAGAAAAGCAGCAGGUUAAUACCCCGCUGUUCUGACGGUACCCAAAGAAUAAGCACCGGCUAACUUCGUG
rnacentral:rRNA from 1 species